CGCGAAUUCGCCCUUCGGGGUGCACCAGGCGCGAAAACUUUACAAUGCCGGCAACGGCGAUAAGGGAACCUCGAGUGCCAGGUUACAAAUCUGGCUGUCGUGAUGCCUAAAAAGCAUCGCAUAGCAAGGGCCGGGCAAGACCGGUGCCAGCCGCCGCGGUAACACCGGCGGCUCGAGUGGUAACCGUUAUUAUUGGGUCUAAAGGGUCUGUAGCCGGCCGGAUAAGUCUCUUGGGAAAUCUGGCAGCUUAACUGUCAGGCUUUCAGGAGAUACUGUCUGGCUCGAGGCCGGGAGAGGUGAGAGGUACUUCAGGGGUAGGGGUGAAAUCUUGUAAUCCUUGAAGGACCACCAGUGGCGAAGGCGUCUCACCAGAACGGACCUGACGGCAAGGGACGAAAGCUAGGGGCACGAACCGGAUUAGAUACCCGGGUAGUCCUAGCCGUAAACGAUACUCGCUAGGUGUCGGCCACGGUGCGACCGUGGUCGGUGCCGUAGGGAAGCCGUGAAGCGAGCCACCUGGGAAGUACGGCCGCAAGGCUGAAACUUAAAGGAAUUGGCGGGGGAGCAC
rnacentral:rRNA from 1 species